GAUGAAGAACGUAGCAAAAUGCGAUAAGUAAUGUGAAUUGCAGAAUUCAGUGAAUCAUCGAAUCUUUGAACGCACAUGGCGCCCGCCAGUAUUCUGGCGGGCAUGCCUGUUCGAGCGUCAUUUCAACCCUCAAGCACAGCUUGGUGUUGGGACUCGCGUUAAUUCGCGUACCCCAAAUUGAUUGGCGGUCACGUCGAGCUUCCAUAGCGUAGUAGUAAAACCCUCGUUACUGGUAAUCGUCGCGGCCACGCCGUUAAACCCCAACUUCUGAAUGUUGACCUCGGAUCAGGUAGGAAUACCCGCUGAACUUAAGCAUAUCAAUAAGCGGAGGA
rnacentral:misc_RNA from 1 species